CAAAACAAAGCUAUAGUAUUGACACAGAUACAGAUUAAAUAUGUAUGGUAUCGAGAAGAAAUGUGUAAUUAUUAUUUGUAGUUAAAAAAACUUCAGAUUUCACUGCUUACAUAAUGAAAUAUUGUGUUCUGGACAUAUAACAUCUAUAUCUUGUGUACAUGAGAUAGAGACAUCCAACAUGGGGGUGAAUGGAGAAAAUUGUGGAAAAUGAGGUUAGGAUCAUUGGAGAGGAGGCCAAUGUUGAAGCCGACGAAGAUGCUGAUGUCUUAGAGCACGAGAAGAUCAGGAAAGGAGUUAUCGCAAAUGAUGAGGGCGACCUGAAUGAUGAAAGUAUUGUGGGUGAUUCAUCUGAAGAUGAUGGUGCCUUAAUAAUCAGCCUAUGAUGGCUCAUUGUUACCUACACAUUGGAAAAUCAAAUGGAUCUGUAUUGUGUGACAGAUACGCAUGUACGAAUCAGAACAAUCGAUAGCGUUAUUCAAAAGUUUUGUUGGUGCUGCUUGUGGUUUUACUUACUUUGGAAUAACGGUGGGUGGUAUCAACAUAUAAACACCCAUGACACAUUCUCUAUAGUACAAAUGGGUCAAAAUUGGUGUGAGACGUGCGAGAGACAUCUCAUAGAUUUCACACGAAUCUCAACUUGCAUAAUAUGCAAUAGUGUUUAUCACAUUUCUUGACCCGCAGGGAUUUUACAGCUUGUAUGUGAUUACUAGGUCGCUUCGCUCCCUCAAAACAUUUCACCCUUGUUAUCAAGUAAGCCAACGUAGGUAAAUAUUUAGUCUUAUUUCUUAUUAAAAAAAAAAAAGUUAUUUUUUCUUACUUACAUUUAUGGUUGUGUUCAGAUCUAGGAAAACAUGCCAACACAAGCUUUGCUUAGACGUUUCUCAAGAACACCACCAUUCAAUUUAUAGUUAUGUAUUUAAUUUUUUUUAAUUUACUGUAAUUAUUAUGUAAUAUCCAUUAUAGUCAAAUAUAUGUAUCUGAAUUGAAUAAAUAUCCUCACACCUACAA